rnacentral:misc_RNA from 1 species
AAGUGCGAUAUUUAGUGCGAUUUGCAUGAAUCUGUGAGUCAUCGAGUCUUUGAACGCAACUUGCGCCUGUAAGGGCAUGUCUGUUUGAGUACCUAUAAAUCAAAUGCAGUAAUGCGAUUUUGCUAGUUCCAACUUUUUCUUUCAUAUGAUUGAGAAAAUGGUCUAGUUAAAUAUAGAUUUAUAUACAAAGAUUGAGAGUUAUAACUCUCUUGAAGUUAAAGACGAAAGUCUUGUUCAAGAGAAUAUAACAUUCAAUCUUAUAUCUAUUUUGGUCUCAAAUCAGGCAAGAUUACCCGCUGAACUUAA